GGCAUUUCUAGAUGAUCUCAUGAAACAUUCAGAUUUUCCUAUCCAAAUACAAACAAAAAUUCCCUACCUCAUUUAGUGUGUAUCUAAAUAUUACCUUAGUUUUAAUGUUUCCUCUUUAACUAUUGUUACCUGGUUACUCAGGGUCUCAGCAGUAGAAAGCAUUCGGGCCAUGCUAAUGGGCUCUGUGGACACUGCCUUCUCUCUGCUCUGUGAAUUCACUCCAUGUGCAAAGAAGACCUAUGGACUGGGUGGCUCGGCAGCUGGGAAUGGCCAUCAUGUCAUUUGAAUUCUUCCAUCCAUUGUUGAUGCCGACUAGCAGCUAAGAUGGCUGAACCAAGCGUCCACAGUAGCUUCUGUUAUGCAGCAAUAGUUCCACAGAGCAUUGUGCUGGUUACAAGUGAGUCUCAGGUCCACUCGGAUUCAAGAGGAGAAGUCAUCAACAGCAACUCCCGUUUUCCACAGCGUGUAACAGAGCCUGCAACACUUUGAGAACACACAAAUAUUGAAGAAAUGUGGAUUAUUUUAAACCAGUUUCAGGAAAAAAAAAAGAAGAAAGAAAGAAAGAGAGAAAGAAAGAAAGAAAGAGAGAAAGAAAGAAAGAAAGAAAGAAAGAAAGAAAGAAAGAAAGAAAGAAAAGGAAAAGAAACACACAAGCAAACAAACAACAACAUCAACAACAAAACAAAUAUAAAGCAUAGGAAACAUCUCCUCAUGGAAGGUGGAGUAUGUCACAGCGUGUCCCACAGCAUACUCACCCCUUUGUC
rnacentral:lncRNA from 1 species